UACGUAGGUGGCAAGCGUUGUCCGGAAUUACUGGGUGUAAAGGGAGCGUAGGCGGGGUGUCAAGUCAGAAGUGAAAAUUACGGGCUCAACUCGUAACCUGCUUUUGAAACUGAUACUCUUGAGUGAAGUAGAGGCAAGCGGAAUUCCUAGUGUAGCGGUGAAAUGCGUAGAUAUUAGGAGGAACACCAGUGGCGAAGGCGGCUUGCUGGGCUUUUACUGACGCUGAGGCUCGAAAGCGUGGGGAGCAAACAGGAUUAGAAACCCUAGUAGUCCCUGAU
rnacentral:rRNA from 1 species